CGACCUGGAGGGGAAACAAAACAGAACCAAAAAAAAAAAAAAAAAGACAGAGAGAGAGAGAAAAAAAAUACACCCAAAGUUAAAAAAAAACCACCACCACCCUGCUGGCCACGGAGCCCAUUUUAAGGAUCGGCCGAGCCGGGGGGGAGAUGCCCACCAGCCGGGCAGGCUCCCGCCCGGGCACGCAUCUCCAGCCUCCCCCCAGCCCGGGGAGAGCGGCGGCAGCCAAGGGGAGGAAAAAACAAGAAAGACCCCAUCUCACUUGAACUCUGUUUUUUGCCUGGGUCUUCAAGGGUGCGCGGCUUUCUCUCCUGCCUGGAUCUCUUUGAAAGACAUUGCAUGGGGUGGCCGAUCGCCUGCCGGCCGCCAAAGGCGAGCUCCUUCUCGCAUCGGGCUGGUUACAUUACAUUGCUCGGGAAAGGCUCCUGCCUCCUUUUUUUCGCGAGCCAACACAUAUUGUGCUUUCUGCUUGCUUCUCAGGCAUCCCACAAUACACCACUCCGGAGCUCGGCUAAUGGCUAACCGCCCUCCACCGACUGCACAUUCACGGCAGCUGCAGCGCGCUGCAAACCCCCCAGCCCGGCCGCCCCUCCGCGCCUCCCCGCCGCAAAUAAAAGCCGGCGCAUUUUUCCCCCGGCCGUGCGCGGGGGCCGGGCCCCGGGGGCCCCGCAUGCAGGACGGUGCCUGGAAUCUGCAGGCUGCAUUUACCUGGGUGCAAAGUGUUUCUAAUGCAAGACGGGCAGAGGGGGGCAAGUGUGGGGCACUACGCGGGGCCGGGGCCGGGGCCGGGGCCGGGGCGAGGGCGGCUCCGAGCGGGGACAAUGUGUCAAUUUCAGCGGAUGGGGAAGCCGCGGGGAAAGUAGCAAUUUUGUGCUCCGGCAAGGUCCUGAGCCGGGCUCGGCCAAUCAGCGGCCGGCUUCCAUCUUGUCCCCGCUGGCAGAGGAAGCGGGGCCCCGGCGGCUGCCUCUUGUCUCGGCUCCGCCGCUGCUUUUUGGGUUUGUAAUUUGGCCCUGCUUAGGUAAUUGGCUGGUGGCAGGCAGCAGGCGCCCGCAGCCAAUCGGCGCGCAGCUUGCAUCGGGCUUGAGUUAUUAGACGCGGAUCUAAAAACAUCCUUCACCAGACAGCUAAGGAGAGGCCAACAGAUCAGGGAGCCAUUUUUCUGCAAUGGAAUUAAAUGGCCAACUGGGCUUUCCUUUGUUCCUAAAGGGGAUGCUGCGCGGGGAGCCGCGGGCCGGGCAGGGCGGCUCGGGGCGGUGUGUAGUGCCUGGCAGCCUGUUAGAGGACUCGCCGAAGGAGGAAGAUAAAAAAGAUUCGGAUUUUUCCCUAUGACUUGGAAUCCAUCUUUGUCUUGUGUAACUAGGUCAUGGCACACCCUCAUGUCAGCAGUAACAAUUUUGAAUGCAAAAAGCAGUCAAGAACAUGUUUUUGUGGGGGGUUUUUCAGCUGCAGGGCGAGCUAGGGACCGAACAAUACAUUUAACAAGAGAAAAAAAAAUAGUCUUUCCUGUAUGAAACACUUAAUACCUGGCCAGUUGUUCUGUUUUUUGUUUUUCUUUUUUUCGUUUUUUUUCCGUAAGUCACUCCUUUGGUGCUUUUGUGAGGUAACGUUUGACUCUAGAUUUAGGAGUUCUGGCAACAAAAACAAGCUGUUUGCCUCUGAUAAACUUUUUUGUUUCUUUGACAUUGUAAGUACCCAAUCCAUUCUGUCCUUGCUAAGUGUAGUUUUCAUGUUAAUGUUACUCGAGUUGUCCUUAUUUCCGAGCCUUCAUUUGCAUGUCUGAUGUUUUUUGUCUAUUUGAUCUAAACCAGUUGAUGCUUUUGAAGUAUUUUUUUUUUUUUUUUUUUUUUUUUACCUCUCCAGCAAAAUCUCUGUAGCUAGGACUGUGUAGAGCUCUUUCCAGCCAGGGACUGUUCGCCAGGCGUUUUCACACUAACAUGUCUCGACUAAAACUACCCAGGGAGGACAUUUUCAGUGUCUGUGGAGCUGUGGAAAAACACUGACUGUCCUUUUUUUUUUCUCCUCUCCUCUUCUUCUUCCUCCUCCAUGUACAGAGUAAAUCUGUCACAGGAAUGUAGAUUUAAGCCUCGAGUCCAAGCCCUAGGUGGAUCCAGCCAGGCAGCCUCACUGGACAGCAUUUUCUGUAGGGUUUUUUGUUUGCUUUGGGGUUUUUUGGUUGGUUGCUUUUUUUUUUUUUCUUCCUCCUGGUUUUUGGUGCCACACCAUUGCCACAUAAAGCCGGCUAAAUGUCUAAACAAGACUUACGAGAGAAGUGGUGCUACAGAUCCUAGAGAUCUGCCCCUGUUGUCUUAAAAAGCCAAACAACACAACUUCACCUCCAGACCUGCAUUCAACUGUGGUGUGCGGGUCGGAGUAUGGCCGGAUCACUAUUCUCUGUGUGCCUCCUCUUGGCCCAGGACAAAGCUACAGCAGUUCUGCCUCAGUUUCCCCAGCAUGUCCCAUUGGCUCCGGCUUCUGGCUCAGCCGUCCUGACAGAUCACUACCAACAAUCGACCCCCUCCACUUCCCGCCAGCAGAGUCGAGACCCAAAGUCACAGUGACAAAGCAAAUAUGAAAUGAAGGAUCCUUUAUCCCCGCUAGGCUUCAUUUGGGCUCCGGGUAAGUUCUUCGUUCGUCCGGGCUCGACUCUCAGAACAACCCCCGCUCCUCGGCUCAGGAAAGCUGGUGGGGGAUGAGUGGGGCACCGGGUUGAAGGGCAAGGGAAGGAAAGUUUAGAGAUGGGUAGGGGUCUGUCAGCUCAUCUUUCUUCCCUCCGACGUGUACGCCAGGAGCUGGGGGGCUGUGUCCUUCCUCGGCCCCCCUGCAGGCCAGCGACCAUCUGUGCCCCCCUGGGGUUUGUGCGAGCUCCUCUUCCAGCUCUCUUAUGCGUGAGCAGAGAGCCCUGCUCUUCCUGCCUCUCUCCCUGUCCCCGUGCCCAGGUGAGCCAGCAUCUUGAGGGCCCAUCCCUCUGCAGGGAUCUUAAAAUGCCUCUCCCUGCCCCCCUGGCGAGCUGGCUUUUUAGGGCAGACCUGCCCCCUGCGCAGAGCGGAGAGCAGGCGCGUUGGAGGCGAGCAGUGCCGAGGCUGGGGGAGGAGCAGGCCUGCCUGGUGCCUACCCUGGCUCUCAAACAGUGGCAGUGGGAGGAGGCAUAAGAACAGCCACCGAGAUGAAUGGAGCAGUUAAUAUAUCUCAGAGCGAUUGUUUCCAGCUGCAUUCAUCUCCAUGGGGUGUCCUCAUUCAGCUGCUGAACAUCUCACAGAGAUGAAUGAACCACUUCACACCUAUCUGAGCCUCCUGUGCCACAGAUGGAUCUGUAGAGCCCUUUUGUUCAUCUCCCCCGUCUUCCCUUUCUAAAAAGUGCCCCCCUUCCCAGAUUAUCCUGCACUGAGGGUUUGGAUGCAGCCCGGCCGUUGCUGGUGAUUCAUUUAAUAUAUGAUUAGCACAGCAUUGUACUGCCACUUGUCCGUCCUUACAGUAACAGACCUCUCCCAACCCACUUCGCUGCUGCCAAUCUCCUGGGCAAGGGGAGAGCCCGGUGUGCUCGUACUGGGCACACAACUGGGCACUCGGAUGAGAUGUAGUGGCCGCUCCAGGUACGCGUGCAGCCCAUGCUACCGGUCACGUGGAGGGUGGGGUUUCUACCCAGCUCCUCCUGGCUGCACUACAACUCUGCACAGUCCUCACGCUAGUCGCCAGCCCUCCUCGUACCGGAGUCGGAGCUCUGCCAGCCUGUCUUGGCGAACUGCCAGGCACCGUUCAGUGCCACCCCGCUAGCAUGGUAAAUGCAGGUUUGCAUAUGCAAGGAAUUCCCAGCUCCAAGGGGGCAGAGUUAAGGUGAUGUCGGUGUAUUAUUCAACAUUGCCUUUCCUCGGUGUCUGGAUGCGAGUGGUGUUGAAUGCUGUGUUGCCCCUGCCACGGCAGUGGCAACUCCGUGAUACUGCAGUCCUUUGUUAGCUGGGCUUUGGAGGGGAUGCUCCAGUGAGGAGUAGGGCAGUUCAUCCCCCAGUAAAGGAGCUAUGGUACCAGUCUGUCCGUAGGCUCACUGGCUUCACUUUGCUGUUUUACUCCCUGUUCACAUCAGAAAGAUUUUCUCCAUAAUCGUGCAUUUAUAAUGAAACUGAGAUUUGCAGUAUAACAUGUUGACCACUUAAAUACAUCGGGUGAACCCGAUUUAAUCCUCUAGUCUGCCACCCGUGCAAUGCUAAAGGAAGUAACCAAAAGACCGGUACGUGUUAAAUAGCCAGUCUAGGCAAUAGCCUAUGGUUUAUGAGUCAAAUCUAGCCCUGUUGCAUCAUUGUUUAACACUCCCCACUGGCUUUGUGGAGUUGUGCUUCUUAACCAGCUACGAGAUCCACACUCCUGACAUGCAGCGGCCCAGUUUUCUUUCUUUCCUUCUUGUUUUUCCCCUUGGUGUGCUCUGAUCUGUAUGAUAGCGCUUGAAUCACUCUGUACAUCAAAUUUGCCUAAUGUCUUUGCACUGGUUUAGUGUGUGAAGCACUUGGAGCCAAGUGGAACGGGAACUCUAAUUCCCGAGACGUGAAAAGGCAGAUAGGAUAUUAUCUCACUGAAAUUUAUUUUUUUCCACAUUAUUUUAUGGGCUAGAAAAUGAAUACAGUUCUGGCAGGUCUAUGAAUUGAAAAGAAUUGCACAAGCUAGUUCCUACUUGGCCAAGUGCUAUUUAAACACUGUUCGACUUUGGGUGAACUUCAGGGGACUGAUCAGUGCCCCAGCUGCCUUUCCUUCAGGGUAAGUGUCUAAAGCAGAACAAGUCCCUUCUGGAACUGGCUAGCUGGAAAAUGAAAACACCACCCAGAAGAUGGGUGCAAAGCAAGCCUGGAGGAGAAAUGCUUCUUCCUGUUUUGGGGAACAAACGCAAGGUUUAGAGCAUACUCUGGUGGAGGCACAUUUGUGCGAGACAGAAGGAAGAAACCCGAUCAAAGCAUAUGACAGCCAAGGAGAAAGCAGAAUGAGCGUAAGAUUGUGGACCGGAGAAAAAGCCUGGAGAGAUUUGGGGGGCUGAGACCUGACUAAAAAAGGCUGUGAGCAAAGAAACUGUCUGCUUUUCCGGAGUCCUGUCGUGUUAGUGGAAACUGGACUUUGUGUUCUUUGUAAGUAAGUGGGAAUGCCUCAGAGAAAUACCUGGCUUCAGCAGCAAUUUCUAUCCCUCAUCAAGGAAAACUUGAAAAUUAGCUAACCCCCGGGGUCCAAAAAAAAGUCAAAAGAAUGUGCUAUCAUUUACUGAACGUGAAUCAUGCUAACAAUUACAUCAUACACAGGUAUAAUUUUGUUGUGCAUCGGAUGUUAUAUACAAUAUAGCAUACAUUUACUAUACUGCUGUUAAACCUGUGUGCGUCAGAGCUAUUUCUUGUUGUACGUACUGAACAUAAUGAUGUUGAAUCUGUCUCUCUAAAAGGACACAUGUAGCUUAAAACCUUUUAGUGACAUUAUUUAUAAAUAUUCCUGAAUGUGAGAGACUUUUUAGUAUCUGACACUUAAUUUCUGUAAACCGUAUUUCAGAUUGAACGUUUCCACACCCCCCCCCCCGCCCCACUUAACUCGACAAGCGCAACAUCUGAGAGUGGAUGUCAGGUGCUUUCAGAACCAGAUAUGUAAGUCCUAGCUUAAUGCACAUGGCUUUUGUAGUCAUAUUGGCCAAAAUGAUCUAUCCCACAUAUGAAUGUUAUUUAUAUGUUGUUCAAAUCAGAUAUCUUAUUUAAAUGUAUUUGUUUAAAAAAAAUGACCGACACCUUAAAUUUUAAAAUAAUCGAUGCCAAAGCCUAAACACAUUACAGAUUAAAAUAUGCUGCAGUGAGUCUUUUUUAAUGGCUUAAGGGGUGCUACUUUUUUGAGUUAUUAAAGAUUUAGGUAGAAAGCACCUUUUAAAUGUUUAGGCUAAGUCGAUCUUUAUAGAGAGGUCAUAAUGUCACAUAAGUAAAUGUUACAUACUUUUGCAGAAGCGAGUGUUGAAGUUGGGGCCAGGCAGGUUUUCUGGGGAUCGAAUGUUCGGGUCCGGUAUCUUUGACGCAAUCCUGUCUGUUUACAAAGGCUGUACAAAGGCCAGGAGACGGUCGGUGCUGAAGGGGAGGAAGGUUUGAAAAUCCCCCAUGGUGCCUAUCUGAAUUUUCAAAAUACCUUUGAAGAUCUAGUCCAUGGUGACCAGAAACAUCCAUCAGCUUAUUCACUACAGUUUGUAUACUCAGUUUUACAUGCAAAAGCUGUUUUAAUUAACUUGCUUUCUUCAUUACGUAUCGUAAGUAUUUUAGGUUUGUUUGUAUUAGAUAAACCACAUUUUUAAAUUAGUUUUAUAUAGGUCUAUUUUUAUUUAAUUCUGAUUUCCAUCCACACACAACUUGACUGAGUAAAACAAUUUAAAAAUCCAACAUUAGUAAAUAAGAAGGGAGUCAUUCACGAUUUUCUAAUGUAUGAAAGUAAAAAUUAAGGGUCUGAAUAAAUAGGUGAAUUAAGCUAGAUUUACUUUCAUUAAGAAUGAAUUGAACGUAUACAGCUAUAAUGUGUUCUCCCACUCAGCACAAAGUAGGAGGUCUUAGUGUAAGGGCUACAUUUGUGUGCGCGUCUUUAGGACAAUGACGGAGAAGCACAAAUGCAAAACGAGAUCAAAAUCGGUGAUUGAGACAACGGUUUCCUGCCGGCUGGUUGGAAUCUCUUUGAUUUUUAGAUCAUUCCAUCUGCUUGAGUAUAUUUUAUGCUCUGAAUUCAGACCGAUCCUGCCAGAUCUGUGACAGAUCUUGGACUUUUUGUCCAUGCAAUAGGAAAAAUGCAUGAUCUGACCAAUCAAACUUGGAACUGUUUGAAACAUAAUGGAAAUGCUAAUGAAAAGUACUGGAUUGACAGCUUUUGUCAAUGAAAUACCCUUACUGACCCACAAACCAAUCUAACUGGUAGUAAAAAAGUAUAAGUGGAAUUCCCCAUCCUGGCCCAGUUUUGUCUCAAACUCCACGUGCUGCAGCUCCACUACCGGGGGGGAGAGAGGAGUUUGAAAGUCUUUGUACCCAUUCAGUCCUUGUCCUCUGUUAAAAUGGCCAAUUAGGCCUUCAUAUGACAGAUGCAUCAUCACGGAGAAGUGCGUUGAUUGGACCAAUCCCGUGUCCCACUGACCUUAAAGUUUUGUGUGUCUUGUAGUACGUCCCAGUCUGAUCUAGAUUUAAACUGGGUCUAUACUGCAACCCAGAGAACCAAGUAUUUGAAGGAAAAUCCAUCACUUCUUACUUCUUAUAUUUAUUGCCUGCAGGUUUUAAGUGGAGACACGCUCUUCAUAGAAUGGUAACGUCUACAAUUUCUCCCAUCGCUGCUGUUUUUUAUUUCAACGCUUCAUGGUUUGUAUCUAACAAAAAACCCUGCCCUUUUUCCAUGUGGAAACUAGCACAGUUCACACGAUUGCUAUGAAAUAACAUCCGCCUUGGGUGCUUUGUCACCUAGAUAACACGUUGUAAGAGAAGAGCUGAUGUAGUCCCAUGGCUAGGCAUGUGGACUGGCAGAGGAAACAGCCUUUUUCCUGAAUACACCCUGGCCUGGCACGGACACGGUACCAGGAGCGCGCACUCUCUCUCCAUGUUUCUCUGCCCGUCCUUUGUCUUGUCCAUUAUGUUCUUCGUAUCGGAGGCAAUUUCUAGGUGUGUAUGUGUGCAACGAACAAAACAGUGCUAAUAAUACAUUGCACUGUGCUCGCUGUCUGUUUGUUAUAUUCCUUCUCCCCACUCCUUUUGUCCGUCUUGAUCAUUUAGAUUGGACACCUUGUACCAUGCACAUCCAGCAUCUAAUUCAAUGUGGCUUUUGAGCACUACUGAUGCAAGUAAUGAACAUUAAGGUAAUUGGAUCUUUUUACAAAAAUACAGGUAUUUAAAGUCCUAAUCCCAUAGUGGUUUAUGCACAUCCUUAAUUCAAGCAUGUGGAUAAUUCCACUAAUUUAAUAGUUGUCUCUCUUUCUUACACCAUAUUGUUCCACUUUUUCAAGUUGGAAGGAAGAGUAGAUAUGCACCUUUUAUAAACUAACUAAAUUGACACUGCACAUAGGAUGAGCUCACAUUUUCAGGUUCACCUGUAGGAAAAAAGCAGCCCUUUUUUUUUUUUUCCCUGAAUAUGAAUCAGUAGCUACCAGGACCCUGGACUGCUAUUGCCUUUACAAACUCAGGAGAAUCAAAUAAGGUAAGGACCUGAAGGGUUAAACACAGUAAAAAUACUAAAAUAAAGGCUGCAUUGAAAAAUGUGA